rnacentral:rRNA from 1 species
CGUAGAUAAUCUACCCUAGAAUCUGGAAUAACCGGCCGAAAGGCUGGCUAAUACUGGAUAGAGCGACGGAAUCCGUAAUUGGGUUUUUCGGGAAAGGGAGCUCGCAAGAGCCUUCGUUCUAGGAUGAGUCUGCGUCCCAUCAGCUAGUUGGUGAGGUAACGGCUUACCAAGGCUUUGACGGGUAGCUGGUCUGAGAGGAUGAUCAGCCACACUGGAACUGAAACACGGUCCAG